rnacentral:lncRNA from 1 species
GGAAUGCUGCUCGGGUCAGAAAGUGGCACGGGUUCCUGCAUGCCCAUAUUCAGAAGAACACGGGCGUCCCCGGCAGGGUGAUCCGCCUCUCUUUAAAGGUGCGGGCCUCAGGGCCCCCGGAGUCUGGCUGCUCAAGUCUCAGCAUCAAACUUUCUCCUGGAACAGAACCUCUUUCAAACCACAUGGAAGCAGGAGGAGGAUGGAGGAUGGGGAUGCUGCCAGCUGCUGCCCGGAGACAGCCCUCCUCCCCCCACCCCGCUUCCCUCAGCCCCCACCCUCUUCCUCACGGGCAAAGCAGCCCAGACAGCGCAGCCCCGCCCAGCCCCACCCACCCCGCUCACCAACCCACCACCCAGUCGAUGGAACAGGAGCUUCACAAAGCCACUUUCCGGGCGCUGCGGUGCCCUGGGGCGAGGGGGCGAGAGGCGCUGGGUACCUUUAGGAAGAGGCCAGGACACCGGCGCCCGAGGAGACCUGCAGCAUCGCCUGGACGCCGCCGCCGCCACCACCGCCGCCGCGGGAGGCUACUUGGCUGCGUGGAGAGCCGGGCUGGCGGGGACCGGGCGCCCUCGCCACCGCCUGCGCCGCUCGCGCUCCCUGCGCUGCUCUCCUGCGCCCGGGCUCGGCUGCCCGGCGACCGCCACUGUCAAGCGGAGCCCCGCCCCCAGCGCGCCGGCCAGCAGCGGACCCCCGGGACGCGCCGCCUCCGGGAUUGGCUGCCGGCGCCGCUGGCUCCGCCCCCGCCCUCCGCCCCUCCCUCGCCGGUGGCGCGCGCCCGGCCGGCCCUCUCCAGGGGCGCCGCGGGAGGGUGCGGUCCCGGGCUGGGCGAGGCUUCCUGCGGGCACGGCGCGCGGAGCUCGGCCGCUGGCCUCUGCAGUUUCUCUCUCCUUUGCUAAUCUAGAAAUAAAUAGACAACCAAAAGGAAAAGAAAAAGAGGAAGCAUCUUCUCUAGGGCCCUUCGCGGGAAGGGCAGCGGCUGGCAGCAGUUCUGGUGUGAGAUCUUUAAAGACAUUUCUUAAGGAAAUCCAGGAAAGGCUACCUGGGGUGCAGAAUUAGGCAGUCUCCAAGACAACCCUCACUUAUGACAUUGAUUGCCAGUCUGGGGAUCCCCAAGACCACCUUCAGGAUGUCACUCCAGUGACGAAAUGAAACUAGAGAAGCGCCAGCAUUAAUGAUGAAUGCAAUCAAUGCAAUGCUGUCCCAGGACGGGUUUGGUGUCUGGAGUGAGACCUCAAUGAACAAGCCCUUCAGGAAUGAAGUUUCAUUAUAGCAAAGUUGACAGAAAUUGACAGAAUCGACCGAGAAGAAAACAUAGGGAGUAA